UAGACCCAUUGGGACCUUGGGACAGACAGUCAUCCUGUCGCGCUCCUCGGAGGCCCCAUGAGGACACUUCGAGUAAGCAACGCCUUCCCUCUCAGGAUAUUUUGUCACUGAGCAAAGUAACACCGAAUCCCACUAUUUCAUACUAACAUAAUAUGAAGAGAGAAAAAAAAGGAGUAGCUGAAGAAAAGAAGAAGUAAAUAACAGAAAUAAAGCUGAAAUGGAUGAGAAAUGACGGUCGUGAAAAUGGGAGGUGAAGGCAGCAGGACAGAGGACUGAUGGUGGUGAUCAGAGAGAGCAGCCUGCCACCUGUUCCUGUGAACGGGGAGCUAAGCAGCCAUGACUGGCCACUCCAAAACUGUCUAUACUGCUGGCAUAUGGUGCGUGUCUAUAUGGACGUGGCAAGAAGCUGAGUGACCAGACCACUGAACGAAGCAGCAGCAGCAGCAGCAGCAGCAGCAGUAGCAGUAGCAGCAGAAGCAGCAGCAGCAGCGCUUCCUGCUCCAAACCUCCUCCAAGAGCAAACCACCUGCAGUUGGAGCUGAGCUACAACAGAUCUCAAACAGCACAGAGAGAACCUGCACGCCCUGCCUAGGGACCUGACCCACGUUCACAAGAACCUCGGUUGCUGUUUUGGUCUUGUAGGCUCUCAGAGAGCUCCUGUCCUCCAUGGCGUGAUUUUCAGACAAGAGGAACUCCUUCUUGCACAUUGUAAGGAGCCCGGAUCUAAGAAAAGGGUUCUCUUCGGGGCACAUAGGGAACAGCUCGACCCUUUGGAAGAUCAUCACUUUCCUAUAAACCUAGUCGUGUCACAUCAGUAAUGUGAUGCUUACUGUGUAUCCGGGGGACUGCUGUAGAUUACAAAGCGACAGCAGACAUUACAAACUAGAGAAGGCUGCCUGUUCUGCAGCCAGGAUGCCUGUACAAUCCCGGCUCUUCCUUCUCUUCCUCCUCCCAGCUGUGAGACUGACGUAGCCUUUCUGAAACCAAAGCUCUCGUCCAUCAGGACUAAACCGGCCUCACAGGGUUACUGUGAAUAUUUAAACAUUAAGGAUUUACUGUGCUUGGUUUGUCUUGGCAUGCUGCAAAUGAUCACAAUAAUCACUUUUAUUAUUAUUAUUUCCCAUGGGCAGUAGUCAGCCAUUGGCCUAAUAGCCUUCUGGAGAAAUGACACCAUUAAUGCUUUAUCAAGGCUCAAAGCAGAGGCCAGCAGGAGCUACAAAAGCCUGCUAAGCAGGACCUGUACCAUACAGAACCCCAUGCACAGACCUCACUGCCCAGAAACCUAUCACCUAGUCUUACAGAGCCUUGCCAUCCUGGGGGACUUAGACAUCCCUACCUUGUGAGUCUUGAUUUCUCACCACAGAAGCAGGACACACACCCUUCACAGGUUGGGUUCAGCUGCCACUCCCAUCAUGCAAACCUCGGCUCAUGUGGUACCAAGGAGGAACCACUCCUCAUCCUGUAUAGAUCUUGUGGGGCAUCUUGUGUACCUUUUCCUGCGUAGCAUAUUUUGUUUUUUGUUUUGUUUUGUUUUUUAUUUUCUCAAGAGAAGGUUUCUCUGUAUAGCCCAGGCAGGCCUCAAACUCAGAAAUCCACCUGUCCCUGCCUCUGGGAUUAAAGGCGUGCGCCACCACCGCCUGGCUCCUGCAUAGCAUCUUAAUGGAUGUGUUGCUCAAUG